rnacentral:lncRNA from 1 species
UCUGUUCUUGUUUCAUCGUGAGUUUCAUCCGUUCUUGUGUUGACGACGAGCGGUUCUGCAAGUUUCGUUUCGUUCUUGUGUGGGCCAUCAAAAAGGUAAACAGAUUGUCUCGCAAGGAGUUAUUAGUAGUGUUCAGGGCAGAAUGGUUGGUAUCUGGAAGCUUCUCUCUUCUCCUUAUCUCUGACGAUAUCAUAUCAAAAAGGCCUCCUAUCUAAAGCAGAACAGGUGGUGCGCCCCAGCAGUAAACAGAACAAGCACCAACGAUAAAGUGAGUUUCUUCUCGAAGUGCAGAGCCGACAUCCAUUCCAUUCUUUUUGAACCUAGAGCAAAAGGCCUCAAUUGUCUUUUGCCGAUAGCUUAAUUAAUGGCAAAAAGUAAAGAGUAAGUAGAAAGUCAAGAGCAAGCAAUAAAAUCUGAUGCUUCUGCGAGAGAAAGAGGAAAUUCCGUAUUUGUGGACUUGUAAAGAAGAGAAUAUAGUAUUGUAUAGAAAGAUUGAAUAUUACCAGCCUUCUAUAUGUAACUUGCUUAUGGAGUUUCCAUUACUUGUUUUGCUUGUGCGUUAGAGAGUUUAGCGUAAGGAGUGUAAAUGAAAGAAUGAGAUGGCGCAAAAGCCUGUAUAAUGUUGAUUUGUGUUCUCCUCGGCAAAAGAAGUCCUGUACCCGCCCUACUGCUCGAAGUUAAGUGUUUGAGGGAAAGGCGGGAAAGCCCUAAAGUGACGUAUAACCAAACCAAGCAGUAACGUAUAACCAAGCUACUGACCUGACACUGUAAACAAAGAAUGAAAGUUGUAUUAGUAUCCCUAGACCGGUGUGGAGGACCGCUUCUAAUAAUUGGUAUUUGUAUUAAGACCCCUACCUCCAGACAGACAAGUAACAACUACUAUGAGGGGAGAGAUGAGUUCAAAGAGCGUAAGUUUCAGUCGAGGAAGAAUAAAGUCAAGGCUAGGAUCAGUGCCACCGCUGCUCUGGUUUGGAAGUUCACUUUCUCCAUUCCUAAAGUUUGAAGUAAACUAAUGACUAUAUUCCUACUACUAUAAGAGUUGUUAGUGUGAGUUUCAUUAAUAGGAGUGGAAUUCCCUAGUUAUUCUUAUAUCGGAGUAGAAGAACCGCUCCCUUAGUAUUAUUCUGAACCUCCCUACUAGGCACCAGUUGAUCUAUUGUGUGAAGUCUAAUAUGUUUGUUUUCAAUUCCAUUCGUAUUCUAAGUUUUCCAUGGAAUUCUUUCUUUGUAGCACUGGGAGUGAUAAGAGAUUCUCAGAUCUUAGUUUCGCACUAUAAUAGCUUUUUGGGGGCAAGAUUACCUCCAGGCCUAACAGAAUAAGCAGGAUAGGAUGCUUUACUAAAGGAAGCAACAAGCGGGUCAGGUUCUUAAAGGGGAGUUCGAUAAUCUGAAGGCGAAGGUAAGGAAGCAGGAUAAGCCAUUCCAGUAUACGAGUUCGGGUGAUAGCCUUCUUCAGCGGUAAGUAAAUAAGUGUCAUCUCCAAUAUAAGCUCUAGGUGGACUAAGUCCUAAAUGUGAGGGUGCAGGCGAAAGACCAAGUGCAAAAGUUCCAUUGGAUUUCUGCGCUUAACGGGUCAGUGCAUCAGUUAGCUCUUUAAUUCCUUCCUUCUUAUGAACGAACAUCAUAUUGAUUUUGGACUGUUUGACAAAAGGCCCAACUCCACUAUUGGUUUUACGUCGGUAGAGAGCAAAGAGAGAUGUUCGGCAAAAGGGGAUAGAGUUUUGUAUUGAAUAAAAGCAAGUCAUUAUUUAUAAGCAAGUCAUUAUUGGAGGCUAAGUGAGUGCGCUAGGAGAUUAGGCUUCAAGUAGAGUUAUUGUUGCUGGCCACGAGAGAAAGAAUCCAUUUUGUACAUCGCGGGUAGCUUUGCCAAGAUAACAAUACGAUCUCGCCCAAGGUGCCUUACGUGAGUUUCAAUUUCAAUAGACGACCAACUAAAGUAGUAUAACCCAUGUGUGUAGUUAAGGGGAAGGGGUGCCUAUUGCCUAUCAAACAAAUUAGGAUGACACUCGGUAUUCCACUGGCAGCUGGCAACAACUACUGAUUCCACAGCUUCCCGACCCGACCGCCAUCUCACUCUUUCUUUCCCUAGUGCUCAAUAAGAUACUAUUUCUAUCCCUCGUGCUCAAUAAGAUAAUAAAAAGGAUCAAUAUUCAAUUCAAUGAGGAACUUCAAGUGUAGCCGAAGCAUAAACUGGUGAAAAAGCCCUCCUCUUAUUCUCUUACCGCUACAAAAGCACCCAUGUUAAGGCUUUCUUGAAUACUAUGGGAAGAGUCAAGGU